rnacentral:rRNA from 1 species
UGGGGAAUAUUGGACAAUGGGCGCAAGCCUGAUCCAGCCAUGCCGCGUGGGUGAAGAAGGCCUUAGGGUUGUAAACCCCUUUCACCGGUGACGAUGAUGACGGUAGCCGGAGAAGAAGCCCCGGCUAACUCCGUGCCAGCAGCCGCGGUAAUACGGAGGGGGCAAGCGUUGUUCGGAAUUACUGGGCGUAAAGGGCGCGUAGGCGGUCUGUCGCGUCAGGUGUGAAAGCCCCGGGCUUAACCUGGGAAUUGCAUUCGAUACUGCUGAGCUAGAGUAUGGUAGAGGGAAGUGGAAUUUCCGGUGUAGCGGUGAAAUGCGUAGAUAUCGGAAGGAACACCAGUGGCGAAGGCGACUUCCUGGGCCAAUACUGACGCUGAGGUGCGAAAGCGUGGGGAGCAAACAGGAUUAGAUACCCCCGUAGUCC